AAAUGUCUGCAAAGUACAGUCGAGUGCCAGGUGCUAACGGAGACUACGUGAGGUAAGCACAGCCAUUUGAGUGAGCGUGAAGAAUGAGCCUCGUGAGGGUGACCUUGAGAGCAGACACAGGACAAGCUAUGAGCAGAGAUCCCCAGUGAGGACGCGUGCCGCAGUUACCUGUCACUGUGAUGCUUCCUGUUGAAAAUAUCUGUAAUGUAGCUCUUAGAGACUUUAUCCGAUAGCACACGGCAGGAUGAAGUUCAGGUUCAUAGCUAUAUAAAAACACAAUUAUGUUUCGUCAUUUCUACAGAAUGGCAGCUUCAAACUUUGUAUGUUAUCUCGAUUCUCAGAAGACCUACCUGGCAUGAGGUCUAUUGUUCUUUGUAAAUUCUGGCAAACGGAUCUCAAAGGGCAUGUUACACACUGCCAAAACAUUCACCACCUUAAAAUCUGUGAAGAUGACCUGCGGGAGAGAAGGAGAACGCCGCACGGUAUUGUGAAGCACAGAAGCGUUCUACUACGGCAAUCUGUACCAAAUACCGUUUCCCAGGAACACUGUUAUGAAGUGGUACUGGCAUAACUGAAACUGUGCUUGUUGUCUUUUAAAUUUUAUGUGACUAAUUUUAAUCUUGAAAAUGGAAUAUUUAAAACUGAGACAAGAGCUAGAAAAGGAAGGGAGUUAAAAGGAAUUCCAGAGUCAGAAUGGAAAAGCUGUCACUUGAAGAAUUAAUACUCAGAGUGAAUGCUGGGCUCUGAAAUUCACUUUAGAGGCACUUCUGUGGUCCCUGUGGCUGUUCACUCGCAGAGGCUGCUCUUGACACUAGUAAGCUUGAGCUAGGGAAAGCAGCCUUGGUAGUUUUGUAAACGUUAACAGGUGCCUCCUACUAACAUCUUCUAAAAACAUUUCUCCCUUUUUUCUCAUUCUCUACCCCCAUACCCCAUGUGUUUCUGUGGUGUAUAUCUGUCUGUGGCAAUGGGGGUUAUACUCAGAGCUGUAUACAUUCCAGGCAAGUCUCUCCCACUGUGCUAUAUAUAAUAUAUACUCCCAGUUAAACAUUCUCCAUAAACCACAGUUGUAAUGAGAGCUACCCUCCAACCCAGUGCCUGCACAAAGCAGCAGAGCUACAAAUGUCACGGCACCACAUCACGGCUGCCUAUGCCACAUCACUAUGCACUGUGGUCUCCACCCUUCACUGGCACUGCACUCCUGUUUACUUAAUUUCUACCUACAGCCCUACUCAAGAACACUUCAAGGACAGCUUACUGAACGUGACCUACCAAGCCACUGUAAGUGGUCAUUUUAUUCACGCUUUGACUGUAUCAAGGUACUUGAAAGUUGACAAGGCAGUGAGUGACAGGAGAGGGCGCUGCCUAAUAGGUCUGUUAGCAGGGCUCUAUAGCUCUCUAACCAUCCUGAGCUGGUAUCUUGAGGCAAUCAAAAGACAUUUCUGAUGACUGCACGGGUGUGGUGAGGGAGGUAGGAAAGCUUGAGUUCGAAGAGCAGAACAUUAACAUGUAAGGAAACAAAUUAUGGGGAAAGCACGAUUUUUUCCAAAUCUCCAGAGCCAUACUUUGUUAUCAAAUGUUCACACUGUGUGUGAAGGGCAAUAUGAAGAAUCUAGAAAAAGUUCAGCAGAGAAGGAUUCCUGUGAUUUGUUUAGUCUACUGAACGUCUUAAUUUAUAAAAUUAAAUCCUUGAACAUGUGCAGUAUGCAUAGUUUUAGAAAAUGUUACCUGAAAACCUAGUUUCUGCAGACUACGGGCUAAACGUCUGGCACCAAAUUUAGCUUCUUCUUCACUGUAGUUGAAGUAAAAAAAAAAAAAUGAUGAUUAGUGGCACAGAGAAUGCAUUCUAUGCUGAAAGCUGAGGCGCUGCAGUCUAGGGAAAUGUCCUCCCUGGGGCGCAGAGUGGAGGGCACACGGAGUUCAGCCAGGCAGCACUCACCUUGUUGCUCCAGUGCAAAUAAUUUUUCCUGAGGACCAAAUUGUAGCUGUAAUUCUAGGUUUUCUAAGCUUCAUUAAUACUUUCUGGAAAAGAAAAAUCAAUGAUCUGAUAAGCAUUGGUCCUGACACACAUCUCUGUCCUAUGUGCCCAUGCUCUUCCCCACAUGCUACGCAGGGCUGACAUGACUACUCAGCCAGUUACCAUCUUCAAGUCCAGGUCAAUACUCCACACAAUCAAAGUCUCAUGAAUGACUUAGAGGCGGAUAAACAGACCCAGGAAAAGGUCUAUACACGACUCUCCCUGCAGAGGUCUUUCCUUGCUCCGUCAUGUGCACAUCAUCACAGUACCAUACAAUGCAGGCUGAGGAAGAUGAUGUUCAAACUAAAAUAAGCUGUCAAAUUUCAGAUGCGAAACCGUGAAAUGACAUCAUCUGACACUUAGCUAUUACUUGCCACCUCAAGACUGUCAGCUUAAAUUCUUAUUGUACUUUGCUUUUCUGAUGGAGGGCGUCUCUUUAGGUAGCCCAGACUGGCCAACAAUGCAUGAUUCUAUACUCUGUGUGAGGACUACAGUCGUGUGUUUUGGCACCUGACUUUCUGUGUAUUCUUCUUAUUUUUAUUUAUUUAUUUAUUUGUUAAGGGAAGAUGUUAUUACUAACACAUUAAAAAAAAUCUUAAUUGGCCAAUGAGAUUUUGGUUUUGUUGAAUUCACCUCAUUCUUGAGUUUCUAGUUCUAAAAACUGGAGAUAAUUUACCUAGGGUAUACAGGCACUUAGGUUUUUAGAACUUAAAUUAAACCUUCAGAUACAUCCCUAACUUAAAAAAAAAAAUCUUUCGUGUUUGAAAUGUAAAUAAAGAAAAUAUCUAAUAAAAUAUUUAUUAC
rnacentral:lncRNA from 1 species